rnacentral:rRNA from 1 species
GGUCCCAUUCCGAACCCGGUCGUUAAGCACCGUUGCGCCGAUGGUACUGCUGCUUAAGCUGUGGGAGAGUAGGUCAUCGCCAAAC